rnacentral:rRNA from 1 species
UACAGAGGUCCCGAGCGUUGUUCGGAUUCACUGGGCGUAAAGGGCGCGUAGGCGGUCGUGACAAGUCACUUGUGAAAUCUCCGGGCUUAACUCGGAACGGUCAAGUGAUACUGUCGGACUAGAGUACAGAAGGGGCAACUGGAAUUCUCGGUGUAGCGGUGAAAUGCGUAGAUAUCGAGAGGAACACCUGCGGCGAAGGCGGGUUGCUGGGCCGACACUGACGCUGAUGCGCGAAAGCCAGGGGAGCGAACGGG